GCAGUUGCAUCAUUCAGCUUCUUAGCAAUAACUGGCCUUUUGUUGGGAAGUACACCCUUAAAAACAGUGGGGCCAAGUUGAUCUGCAAAAUUGCCAGUUAGCUCUUUUAUCUCUUCAAAGGAUAACCCGACAAGUACACUGUAAUGAGCAUUCAUUUGAGCAUCCUUGUUAAAGGGAAUUCUUGCCUGAGCCUUAAUUUUCCGUCUACGGUACACAAACCAAAACACAAAUGUCUCAAAGGUCAGCAAACCUGAGACUGUAACGAAAACUACCAAGGCAACAGCUCCCACAAACUUCUUGUUGUCACCUUCACGGUCAAUGAAUCCUUUAGACAAUGUAGGAAUUGGCUUGGGGUUAAAAUGAGGAUCAGAUUGUUGAGCUGAAACAGCCUGAGGGACCAAACACACUUUUAAGAAUGAAGUAGCAGGAACAGAAGGGUUCCUAUACCCACUAAUAAAGCUAGUUCGUUUGAUUGUAGAUAUACCUGAACCAUCAUUUUUUGAAGUUGCUGCAAUGCAGGUAGGGUCAUUAGAGCAGUAUUCUUUGCACUUUUUCUCAUUUAGCAUCAUAUGAACAUCUUGAGGUGGAUAAAGCCCAUAUAAAACUGACUGCUUCAUAUCCACCAUGCUUGUAUUCAUCUUGCAGUUGCUCAAAUCCACCAUCUUCUUGCAUCCAAAACCACCUGAAUCCAUUGUGACAAAGGAAGCUCCCCAGUUCGAUGAAUCCUGGUAAAGACAAUCACAGACAGGUCCUGUUGAAUUAAACCCGCAUAAUCCAUACAAACCACAAGAACCAAACACAUCACAUUGGUUCCCAACUGCUUGCCACGCUAUUUUCCAUUCAUGAAGCACAUUGUCCCAUGAAUAUAUUCUCAAGUUCCCGUCAGAAUCCAUCCUAAGAUGCCUCAAAGUGACAGAAGGGUCUUUGAAAUCAUUGCUUGAUGUCGACCAAACAGUUCUAUUAGUACCAUCUAUUAGCCUCAAAAACCAAUCAGCAUCAAAUCUUGCUUCCU
rnacentral:misc_RNA from 1 species